AAAAAGGUAAGCUAAAUUUAAGCUAGUGGGUUCAUACCCCAUUUAUGAAAUAUAUUUUCCCUUUUUA
rnacentral:tRNA from 1 species